GACGAACGCUGGCGGCGUGCUUAACACAUGCAAGUCGAGCGGUAAGGCCCUUUCGGGGGUACACGAGCGGCGAACGGGUGAGUAACACGUGGGUGACCUGCCCUUAGCUCUGGGAUAAGCCUGGGAAACUGGGUCUAAUACCGGAUAUGACUCCAUGACGCAUGUUGUGGGGUGGAAAGCCUUGUGCGGCUAGGGAUGGGCCCGCGGCCUAUCAGCUUGUUGGUGGGGUGAUGGCCUACCAAGGCGACGACGGGUAGCCGGCCUGAGAGGGCGACCGGCCACACU
rnacentral:rRNA from 1 species